rnacentral:misc_RNA from 1 species
CGCACAUUGCGCCCUUUGGUAUUCCAAAGGGCAUGCCUGUUCGAGCAUCAUUGCAAACCCUCAAGCCUUGCUUGGUUCUGGGCUUCUCGUCGCCUGCGACGUGCCCGAAAAAGAUUGACGGUUUGGUGCAAACCUUUGGGCGUAGUACUUUCUUUCACCCCGAAGGCUUUGCGCUCGACCGGUUGAAAGUCUCUAAAUCCGACUUGAAGAUUGACCUCGAAUCAAGCAGGGAUACCCGCUAAACUUAA